rnacentral:sRNA from 1 species
AUGACAGCUCAGGGGACCAAAGUCCUGCUCCACGGCUGUUAGAUCAGACCCCUAAAAGCUUCUCUUUCUCCAGCCUUGGCAACAGCAGCUUCCCCACAUGCACUUGUGCAGCAUCUCACCCCUGACCUGGAGGGACCACCUCCAGGGCUGAGAGGUGAGCCCAGGCUCCAAGGCCCAUUCAGUCCUUUGGUCUCU